rnacentral:misc_RNA from 1 species
UAGCCAACAGCCUGGGAGUCAGA